ACGUGAUCUGAGUUCAGACCGGAGUAAUCCAGGUCAGUUUCUAUCUAUAAAAAGCCUUUUUCAGUACGAAAGGACCAAAAAGACACGGCCAAUGUGCCACACAAGCCGUAUCUAAUAAUUUGUGACUCAAACUUAACAAAAAAUUAGAUUCUUUUGCCGCUCAAGAAAAGAGUA
rnacentral:rRNA from 1 species